UACGGGGGGGGCAAGCGUUGUUCGGAAUUACUGGGCGUAAAGGGCUCGUAGGCGGCCAACUAAGUCAGACGUGAAAUCCCUCGGCUUAACCGGGGAACUGCGUCUGAUACUGGAUGGCUUGAGUUCGGGAGAGGGAUGCGGAAUUCCAGGUGUAGCGGUGAAAUGCGUAGAUAUCUGGAGGAACACCGGUGGCGAAGGCGGCAUCAUGGACCGACACUGACGCUGAGGAGCGAAAGCCAGGGGAGCAAACGGG
rnacentral:rRNA from 1 species